GUGUCUGCCGCCGCGGUAAAACGUAGGAGGCAAGCGUUAUCCGGAGUUACUGGGCGUAAAGCGCGUGCAGGUGGGUUGUUAAGUCACUUAUGAAAGCUCCCGGCUAAACUGGGAGAGGCUGAGUGAAACUGGCAGCCUAGAGUAGAGGAGAGGUAGACGGAAUUCCGCGUGUAGUGGUGAAAUGCGUAGAGAUGCGGAAGAACACCAGUGGCGAAGGCGGUCUACUGGCCUCUAACUGACACUCAGACGCGAUAGCAUGGGUAGCGAACGGGAUUAGAAACCCCGGUAGUCCAUGACGUAAACGAUGCACACUAGACGUUCGCAGUCAUUGGCUGUGAGUGUCGAAGCAAACGCGAUAAGUGUGCCGCCUGGGGAGUACGGUCGCAAGGCUAAAACUCAAAUGAAUUGGCGGGG
rnacentral:rRNA from 1 species